rnacentral:rRNA from 1 species
UGCCAGCAGCCGCGGUAAUACGGAGGGAGCUAGCGUUGUUCGGAAUUACUGGGCGUAAAGCGUGCGUAGGCGGAUCGACAAGUUGGGGGUGAAAUCCCGGGGCUUAACCCCGGAACUGCCCUCAAAACUGUCGAUCUAGAGACCGGGAGAGGUAAGCGGAAUUCCUAGUGUAGAGGUGAAAUUCGUAGAUAUCUGGAAGAACACCAGAGGCGAAGGCGGUCUCUUGGUCCGAAACUGACGCUGAGGCGCGAAAGCGUGGGGAGCAAACAGGAUUAGAUA